GACGAACGCUGGCGGCGUGCCUAAUACAUGCAAGUCGUGCGGACCUUGUUGAAAGCUUGCUUUUAAAAGGUUAGCGGCGGACGGGUGAGUAACACGUGGGCAACCUGCCUGUAAGACUGGGAUAACGCCGGGAAACCGGGGCUAAUACCAGAUCGUUUUUUCCUCCGCAUGGAGGAAAAAGGAAAGGCGGCUUCGGCUGCCACUUACAGAUGGGCCCGCGGCGCAUUAGCUAGUUGGCGGGGUAAUGGCCCACCAAGGCAACGAUGCGUAGCCGACCUGAGAGGGUGAUCGGCCAAAUUGGGACUGAGACACGGCCCAAACUCCUAAGGGAGGCAGCAGUAGGGAAUCUUCCGCAAUGGACGAAAGUCUGACGGAGCAACGCCGCGUGAGUGAAGAAGGCCUUCGGGUCGUAAAACUCUGUUGCCGGGGAAGAACAAGUGCCGUUCGAACAGGGCGGCGCCUUGACGGUACCCGGCCAGAAAGCCACGGCUAACUACGUG
rnacentral:rRNA from 1 species